rnacentral:rRNA from 1 species
CACCAGCGCCACAAGUGGGGACCAGUAUUAUUGGGCCUAAAGCGUCCGUAGCCGGGUUGAUAAAUCCCUUGUGAAAUCGUCGGGCUUAACCUGACGGCGUGCGGGGGACACUGUCAAUCUUGAGACCGGGAGGAGUCAGAGGUAUUCUUGGGGUAGCGGUAAAAUGCAAUAAUCCCUCGAAGACCACCUGUGGCGGAGGCGUCUGACCAGAACGGGUCUGACGGUGAGGGACGAAAGCUGGGGGA